rnacentral:rRNA from 1 species
CCUACGGGAGGCAGCAGUGGGGAAUUUUGGACAAUGGGCGCAAGCCUGAUCCAGCCAUGCCGCGUGAGUGAAGAAGGCCUUCGGGUUGUAAAGCUCUUUCGCAAGGAAAGAAAACUUACAUAUUAAUACUAUGUGAGGAUGACGGUACCUUGAUAAGAAGCACCGGCUAACUACGUGCCAGCAGCCGCGGUAAUACGUAGGGUGCAAGCGUUAAUCGGAAUUACUGGGCGUAAAGCGAGCGCAGGCGGUUUUGUAAGUCAGAUGUGAAAGCCCCGGGCUCAACCUGGGAACUGCGUUUGAAACUACAAGGCUAGAGUAUGGGAGAGGGAGGUAGAAUUCCACGUGUAGCAGUGAAAUGCGUAGAGAUGUGGAGGAAUACCAAUGGCGAAGGCAGCCUCCUGGCCUAAUACUGACGCUCAUGCUCGAAAGCGUGGGGAGCAAACAGGAUUAGAUACCCUGGUAGUCCACGCCCUAAACGAUGUCAACUAGUUGUUGGUGGAGUAAAAUCCAUUAGUAACGCAGCUAACGCGUGAAGUUGACCGCCUGGGGAGUACGGUCGCAAGAUUAAAACUCAAAUGAAUUGACGG